rnacentral:tRNA from 2 species
GGGCCUAUAGCUCAGUGUUUUAGAGUACCUGUUGGAUAAACAGGAGGUCGGAGGUUUAAUUCCUCCUGGGUCCGCCA